GUGGGGAAUAUUGGACAAUGGGCGAAAGCCUGAUCCAGCCAUGCCGCGUGUGUGAAGAAGGCCUUUUGGUUGUAAAGCACUUUAAGCGAGGAGGAGGCUACCGAGAUUAAUACUCUUGGAUAGUGGACGUUACUCGCAGAAUAAGCACCGGCUAACUCUGUGCCAGCAGCCGCGGUAAUACAGAGGGUGCGAGCGUUAAUCGGAUUUACUGGGCGUAAAGCGUGCGUAGGCGGCUUUUUAAGUCGGAUGUGAAAUCCCUGAGCUUAACUUAGGAAUUGCAUUGGAUACUGGGAAGCUAGAGUAUGGGAGAGGAUGGUAGAAUUCCAGGUGUAGCGGUGAAAUGCGUAGAGAUCGGGAGGAAUACCGAUGGCGAAGGCAGCCAUCUGGCCUAAUACUGACGCUGAGGUACGAAAGCAUGGGGAGCAAACAGGAUUAGAAACCCGGGUAGUCC
rnacentral:rRNA from 1 species